AAAUGAAUAGACGGGGACCCACACAAGCGGUGGAGCAUCUGGUUUAAUUCGACAAUAAGCGUGGAACCUUACCUAGGCUUGACAUCCCGAGAAGAUCGCCGAAAGGUGAUUGUGCCGUUAGGAACUCGGUGACAGGUGCUGCAUGGUUGUCGUCAGCUCGUGCCUUGAGGUGUUCGGUUAAGUCCGUGAACGAGCGCAACCCUUGUCGUAAGUUGCAUAUUUCUUACGAGACUGCCGGUUCUAAAUCGGAGGAAGGUAAGGAUGACGUCAAAUCAGCAUGGCCCUUAUGCCUAGGGCGACACAGGUGCUACAAUGGCCAGUACAGUGGGCAGCCAAGGAGCAAUCCGGAGCUAAUCCCCAAAACUGGUCCAAGUUCGGAUUGGAGUCUGCAACUCGACUCCAUGAAGUUGGAAUCGCUAGUAAACGCGUAUCAGCCAUGGCGCGUUGAAUAUGUUCCUGGGUCUUGUACACACCGCCCGU
rnacentral:rRNA from 1 species